rfam:Ovis aries breed Texel chromosome 7, whole genome shotgun sequence.
UCCCUGAUGGUCCAGUGACUAAGACUCCUUGCUUCCAAUGCAGGGGGUCCUGAGUUCAAAUCCUGGUCAGGGAG